rnacentral:rRNA from 1 species
AUACGGAGAUGGCAAGCGUUAUUCGGAUUUAUUGGGCGUAAAGGGCGUGUAGGUGGCUUGAAAGGUCAAAGGUGAAAUCCCCGGGCUCAACCUGGGAACUGCCUUUGAAACCGUCUGGCUAGAGUUCGGGAGAGGGUAGUGGAAUUCCUAGUGUAGAGGUGAAAUGCGUAGAUAUUAGGAGGAACACCAGUGGCGAAGGCGACUACCUGGACCGAUACUGACACUGAAGCGCGAAAGCGUGGGGAGCAAACAGGAUUAGAAACCCCAGUAGUCC